CGGAGAGGGAGCCUGAGAAACGGCUACCACAUCCAAGGAAGGCAGCAGGCGCGCAAAUUACCCAAUCCCGACACGGGGAGGUAGUGACAAUAUGUAACAAUAUACGGCUUUAUUGUCGUAUAAUUGGAAUGAGUACAAUUUAAAUCCCUUAACGAGGAACAAUUGGAGGGCAAGUCUGGUGCCAGCAGCCGCGGUAAUUCCAGCUCCAAUAGCGUAUAUUAAAGUUGUUGCAGUUAAAAAGCUCGUAGUUGGACCUUGGGCCUGGACAGGCGGUCCGCCUCACGGCGUGUACUGUCUUGCUGGGCCUUUCCUCUUGGUGAUCUGUGGUUUCGGCCGCAGGGAACCAGGACCUUUACUUUGAAAAAAUUAGAGUGUUCAAAGCAGGCUUUACGCCAGAAUAUAUUAGCAUGGAAUAAUAAAAUAGGACGUGCGGUUCUAUUUUGUUGGUUUUUGGGAUCGCCGUAAUGAUUAAUAGGGACAGUCGGGGGCAUUAGUACUCACAUGCUAGAGGUGAAAUUCUUGGAUUUUGUGAAGACUAACUUCUGU
rnacentral:rRNA from 1 species